GCCUUCAUUUAGAGAUUUCCACUCUGUUAUGAGCUCUCUUACACUAUUCAAGUUAGAUUCGCUUUCUAGUCCUUCUUUUAGCUUCUGUUUGGUUGCUCAGAAAACUGAGGUAAAUGAGGAAAAUAUGAGGCGAAACUUAUAUGAUUUUUUUUUUGUAUUGUUGUUGGUUUCUUUGCAAUGAAAGAGAGCAAAUGUUUAGGCGCAGCUGUAAAUCUCGAGCUUUGUUCUUUAUUCCCGUUUUUUUUCUUCCGGCGACCACACGAACGAACGAUAAAUAUGUACAUUUUUGUGUAUUCUUUACUUGGUCUUUCCUGAUUACUAUUUUUGUUUGGUAAUUUUUUUCAUUGAUUUCAUGCAUCUGGAACUAUUCAGUGCACGUAAUUUAGGUUUCUGGCCUAAUUUUUGGGAUUUAGGUUCUCUUGAGAUUGACAAUUAAUUAUUGUUUUUAUUUUUAAUUGCAAUUUAGCACCCGAGGAAAGCUGAAUUUCUGAACUUCUGUUGUGUGAUUAGAUGCUUAGUUUGUGACAUGACUGAUUUUCUCGAAUACCUAUGUAAUUUCUGCUCUGUGGGAUGGUUGAUUUUGUUUGACCUUGAUUAAAUUUUUAAACUCUUUUUUCGCUAUUGGAUUCGGUUCUUGAGGUAAGAUAAAGUUGUGGGUAUGUUUUUAUUUUAUUUGUUUUUGUGUUCUUUUAAUAAAAGCUUGCUGUUUUUAUGUUGGGUGUUUGUUUAUUAAUGUUUUUUUAGCACUUUGUGUGGAUUGAUUGAUUGUAAUCCUAAUUUUCUGUGCUUCUUCUUAUUUUUUUUGUUUUUUUUUUUUCUGGGUUUUUUGGUUUAAUUCGUUCAAGGGUUUUGUUUAAAGGUGGUGAGGAGCAGAUUAUAUAAGCCUAUAAACAUGUAUUCAAAGCUGGUUGGAUUGAGGAAAGCUGAACUUCUGAACUUCUGCUGUGUGAUUAGAUGCUUAGUUUGUGACAUGACUGAUUUUCUCGAAUAUCUGUGUAACUUCUGCUCUGUGGGAUGGUUGAUUUUGUUUGACCUUGAUUGAAUUUUUAACCUCUUUUUAGUUAAAUGUUAAUGGAAACUGAUGCAAACCCUAAUGAGUAGGUGUGGCAAUAUGAGCUCUUGGGAAUUAGGACAUGUUUGGGAGACAAAGUUGGAGAAUUCAAGAACAGAUGCCAGAGGCAGUAUAAGCUAUUUGAACCAAAACCCACCUCUCCUGCCACCUAGAGAGCUGUUUUUUAUUUUUUAUUUUUAAAUUAAGUUUAUAAUUUGUUUUUCCUUUUUUUAAUGCAUAGAGCUUCACAUCAAACAGCAAAUAAGGUUUUCUUACUUUGUGCCAAAUGGAGGGUCCUUAGCUUCUCUCUCUUCUCUCUCUUUUCUCUCUGUUGUGUGAAGUUCUCAGUGAAAAAUCGAAAGCUUGGGUUCUUAUCCAUCUUAAUUUUUAUUAAAUGAAAACCGUGGGUUGGGUUCAAUCACUGCUACCAUUGGACUAUGAUACUCUUCGAUAAGAUAUAUUUAUUUUAAAUUUGUUAAGGUUCAUCAUUACAAAAAUACAAUUUUAAUUAUUUAAUUUGAAAUUAUAUGCUGUAAUUUUAUUCAGAUUUGUUUAUAUUAACUACAAGAUUAUUUCUUGCUGGUUCUUGCUUCUCAAAAGUUGUCUUAAAUGCUUAUUAUGUUGCCACUUGUCAUAACCCUUGAUACUUGGUUCAAGUAGCAAAGUGUUGGGGUGGGAUGCUGGUAGGUUUCCAAUUUCAUUUUCAGGGGAGGAAAAAAUUGUUACCUAUAUAAAAUGUUUAUUUGUUGUGAUACUUAUUUACAAACUUAAGUGACUUUAACUUCAGUGGUGUUGCAGGGAGUAUUCUGGCUAUAAGCUGCUGUGGUGGUAGCCUUUUCAUUUACCCCAAGUUUUCUUCACGCUCUCUGUAUCAACGUUUCAUGGAGGAGAUGAUCUUCAAAUAGAAGCAUUGCCAGUUGGAUCUAUUGCUUCCGACUCCGCCGUAACUGCACUGUUAUACUGGCAAGGAAAGCUUUUUGUUGGCUGUGCUGAUAGAAUUAUCAAGGUGUAUUCUGGGCAGUGAUGGAAGCAUCACUUAAGAAGAUGUCAACCAAACUUAAUACGUUGGCAAAGCUGCCAAGGGUGAUGGGUCCAUUGCUGAGAUGAAAACGGGGGAAGGAAAAACCUUGGUUUCCACAUUAGCAGCCUCUCUCAAUGCCCUCACUGGUGAGGGUGUUCAUGGAUGAUAUGCCAAAGCCUGGUCAAGCCCCUCGUCCUGCUGGAGGAGCUCCUGUUCGCACCUGAUAAAAAGAAGUUGAUUUCCUCUGCCAUUCUGCUUUCAAACAGUUACCUGAAAUUUUCAGAACUUUUGAGGCCAUUUGUUUUUGUUUUUCUUGGUUUGGGCGAUUUUGAUUAUGAUGGAAGGUUUAACUUUUGCUGUUUAAUGCUUUUGAGUAUUAAUGUAGUAUCAGGAAAAUGAAAAUUGAGACACGAGAAUGAAUUUCAUUUUUUUAACUA